rnacentral:rRNA from 1 species
GACGAACGCUGGCGGCGUGCCUAACACAUGCAAGUCGAACGGAGAUAUAAUUUCGGUUAUAUCUUAGUGGCGAACGGGUGAGUAACGCGUGAGCAACCUGACCUUCAGAGGGGGAUAACACUUGGAAACAGGUGCUAAUACCGCAUAAGACCACGACCCGACAUCGGGAUGAGGUCAAAGGAGAAAUCCGCUGAGGGAGGGGCUCGCGUCCCAUUAGAUAGAUGGCGGGGUAACGGCCCACCAUGUCGACGAUGGGUAGCCGAGCUGAGAGGCUGAUCGGCCCCACUGGAACGGAGACACGGUCCAGACUCCUACGGGAGGCAGCAGUGGGGAAUAUUGGGCAAUGGGCGCAAGCCUGACCCAGCAACGCCGCGUGAGGGAAGAAGGCCUUCGGGUUGUAAACUGCUUUUAUAAGUGAAGAAUAUGACGGUAACUUAUGAAUAAGCACCGGCUAACUACGUGCCAGCAGCCGCAGUAA